AAUGAACGUUGGCGGCGUGGAUUAGGCAUGCAAGUCGAGCGGAAAGGCCCGCAAGGGCACUCGAGCGGCGUAAGGGACAGUAAUGUGUAGGUACGUACCCCUGGGUCUAGGAUAGCUGCGGGAAACUGCAAUUAAUACUAGAUGAUGUCUUCGGACCAAAGGUGUGAUUCCACCCAGGGAGCGGCCUACAUCCUAUUAGCUAGUUGGUGAGGUGACGGCUCACCAAGGCGAAGAUGGGUAGCAGGUGUGAGAGCACGACCUGCGUCACUGGGACUGAGACACUGCCCAGACACCUACGGGUGGCUGCAGUCGAGAAUCUUCGGCAAUGGGCGAAAGCCUGACCGAGCGACGCCGCGUGCGGGAUGAAGGCCUGCGGGUUGUAAACCGCUGUCGGAGGGGAUGAAAUGCCGAUGGGUACUCCCAACGGCUUGACUGAUCCUCGGAGGAAGGGUGGGCUAAGUUCGUG
rnacentral:rRNA from 1 species